CCUCCGCCUCUGAGUAUCAAAUAGAACUAAAACGAUAAAGAGAAAAUUAGCAUGACCUCUACACAAGGAUAACACGCACAAAUCAAGAAAAAAUUAUUUAAAUUUU